AGGAUAAACGCUGGCGGCGUGCCUAACACAUGCAAGUCGAACGUCUCUUCUUUCGGGAAGAGGAGUGGCGGACGGGUGAGGAACACGUGGGAACCUGCCCUUUAGUGAGGAAUACCGGCGAGAAAUCGCCGACAAGACCGCAUAGCCCUCUUUGAUGAGAGUCAAAGAAGGAAAGCUUCGCAAGAGGCGCUAGAGGAGGGGCCUGCGUCCGAUUAGCUAGUUGGUGGGGUAAGAGCCUACCAAGGCGUCGAUCGGUAGCUGGUCUGAGAGGACGAUCAGCCACACUGGGAUUGAGAACGGCCCAGACUCCUACGGGGGGCAGCAGUGAGGAAUUUUCGGCAAUGGGGGAAACCCUGACCGAGCAACGCCGCGUGCAGGAAGACGGCCUUCGGUUGUAAACUGCUUUCUCGGGAAGAGAAUGGACGGUACCCGAGGAAUCAGCCCGGCUAACUACGUGCCAGCAGCCGC
rnacentral:rRNA from 1 species